ensembl:rRNA 5S_rRNA 5S ribosomal RNA
AUCUAUGGCCAUACCACUCUGAAUGUUCCCUAUCUCAUCUGCUCUUGGAAGCUAAGCAAUACUUGAGUAGGAGAAUGAACGUCAUCACUGAAAUAAGACCAAACAAUGGUUCAAGAGGCAUAGGCA